AGGAUAAUAGUUAAAUAUAACAUUUAAUUUGCAAUUAAAAAGUAUUGAAUAUCAUCAAUUUAUCUAA
rnacentral:tRNA from 1 species